rfam:Candidatus Competibacter denitrificans Run_A_D11, WGS project CBTJ02000000 data, contig: COMPD11_2693_Contig_22
GGGGCCAUAGCUCAGCUGGGAGAGCAUCGGCUUUGCAAGCCGGGGGUCGGCGGUUCGAACCCGCCUGGCUCCA